UGAGCAGCAGGGGUCUGCUUGCUGGCUUUGUGUUUGCAGCUGGUGGUGUGGGUCUGACCACCGGGCAUGGUUCUGGCCUGUCCCGCCCCCUGCCGACCGCUUCUUGCUCAACGGGACCACGUGCAACAGGGCCACCUGCUGGGCCUCUGCAGCCUCGGCUCCGGUGGGACAGUUGUCCCGUCACAGCUGCUCUCGCUCUCACGUCUCUGGCACAUUCCACUACCAUUCACGUUUUAGAGUUCUCCGAACAGCCCCUGUUAAGUUAGGUCACCUUGGAACACUUGGCGCCCAUUCUCCCUCAAGUAUGUGCUGGGAGAAGAGUCAGAGACAUGACUUUAUCGGUGCUUCCGUUUUCUCUAUUUACGGGUCUCUCUGUUUUGAUGUCACCCUGUAUGUUUAGAACGAAGGCCACAUGACACUGACUCACCCCUCUUAACCUCCCCUUGUGACGGCGCAGGGCUCAGCCACCUUUCACUUCAUCUCACUGCUUUAAGAGUCAGCAGAAACUUUACACUGAAAGGUGGUGAAUGUAACAGGUGAUUUGCCAUUUCCUUCUUGGUCCAUAAAAUGGAAACCACUGAAUCUCUUCACUUGUCCAAUCGCCUGUGUUUAUGGAACUUCGUUUCAUAUUAAAUAUGAAAUAUGAUCCAAGCUGCCCCUAGAUGAUUCCACAGUUGAAUUCAGAACUUAUCUGGCUGACUCCUGGAUUACAAUAAAAUGAAGACCAGACAGUGGUGGAUUGCCUCAGAUCACAUAAAAUGUGACACAAUAUUACUAAUUUUUAAGGCACUCAGUUUGCACAAGAAAUAAGAAAAGAAAAACGAGAAUUGAAAAAGGAAGCACAAGGCACAGAGGGAGGAAACCAUGGGCAGUGAGGGCAGAGCUGGGCCACGUCCCCAGGCUGGCAUGAUGAAUGACCGGGAUUUGUGCUUCAUGCUUUGCACAGUCAGGGAAACCCCGGUCAACAGGCCGGAAGGAGAGUCAGCCUCAGCAAAGAGGAGUCCUGCAGUUCUCUCUCGUCAUCAGAAAACAGAACGGUGUAUGGAUUUUUACAAUCAGUAAGUUCCUAAUAAAAUUGAGAGGACUGAGGGUCUUUUUCUUUCCCUUUAGGUAAAAUUAAUUUUGAGGUUCUUUCUAGAAUGGCAAAGUCAUUGUAGGGGAACAGACUGGCUUCCAGGUGAGUCAGGGAGGACAGUAGACAAGGGAGCAGGCAGUGCCCUGCGGGGAAGUCAGGAUGCAGAGACGCUCCCUGGAAACCUGGAAAGAGGAUCUAGGGCAGAGCUCCUGUGGGCUAGCUCUGGUACCCGUGGGCUAGCUCCGGCACCUGUGAGCUAGCUCCGACACCAGGCCACCUCAGCUUGCUCCACCCACACUAUCAAACUGCAGAAGGCACAGCUCCUGGCGGGAGAGAGGGAGUGUUAGUGGAAGGCAUCUUCAUGAAGAGUGGUCAGGAUAGGUCCACAUGCAGCAACGUCCAGCCCAUAAAAAGGAUAUGCAUGUCCAUCAGUGAGCACAUCCUUGUCAACACGUUUUCAGCAGAAGUAGAAAUGAUGUAGGUGCAGGGACAUCAGCUCCUAGAGGCAUCAUGGAGAAAUUUCAUUAAAUACCAACUACAGAAACAUGAUGGAAAACAGCUAUGGGUCUGUAAGCAAACAGACCAGCCCCAUGUAAACUUAAGCCCAAGUAUUCCAUGAUGCCAAUUGCAGAUCACCCUUCUGAAAGGAAGGCUUCACCGCACAGCCCUGGGGCUUGUCCACCCUGCUCGCCUGCCCCGUGGGGCACUCUCACCGGUGAUGGCCCUGCCUCAGGUGGACGACUCAGGACUUGAAUGGCUUCGUUCCUUGGGUUCUGUUCUCUUCUCACACUUCCCAUUCCACCUGGUCUCUCUGGGUGGGUUUUUUGUCUUUGAGAUGGAGUCUCACUCUGUUGCCCAGGCUGGAGUGUAGUGGCACGAUCUGAGCUCACUGCAACCACCACCUCCAAGAUUCAAGUGAUUCUACUGCUCAGCCUCCUGAGUACCUAGGACUAUAGGCACGCACCACCACGCCCAGCUAAUGUUUCUGUUUUUUGUAGAAAUGGGGUUUUGCCAUAUUGGCCAGCCUGGUCUUGAACUC
rnacentral:lncRNA from 13 species